rnacentral:rRNA from 1 species
UACGAAGGGCCCAAGCGUUAUCCGGAUUUAUUGGGUUUAAAGGGUGCGUAGGCGGCGUGGUAAGUCGGGUGUGAAAUCUCGGAGCUUAACUCCGAAACUGCAUUCGAUACUGCCGUGCUUGAGGACUGGAGAGGAGACUGGAAUUUACGGUGUAGCGGUGAAAUGCGUAGAUAUCGUAAGGAAGACCAGUGGCGAAGGCGGGUCUCUGGACAGUUCCUGACGCUGAGGCACGAAGGCCAGGGGAGCAAACGGG